rfam:Triticum aestivum genome assembly, contig: Triticum_aestivum_CS42_TGACv1_scaffold_423222_5BS
GAUGUACCCCCUCCGUUCAGAAUUACUUGUCACAAUAAUGGAUGUAUCUACAACUAAAAUACAUCUAGAUACAUUCAUUUCUUGGAUGAGUAAUUCCGAACGGAGGGAGUAGUUA